CCAGGACAAAGAAAGUUUAAUGUUCUUUCAAACGGGAGUGUGGUGGGUGCUCAUGCAGCAUUGUGUGACAUGUUUACUAUGUUAAUUCAUUCCUUUAGGCACCAUUUUAUGCUUGGUCAAACUUUCUGCAAAAGCAGGAGGGUUGGGUCAGAACGACUCCAGGAGCGAGCGGGAGUGUGGAUUAAAAAACAGCACACAUAUAUUCUAGUGUUUAGGACAGUUUUGGACUUCAGACACAUAGUGGGAAUAUCUAGGAAUCCUAGAUUCCGAAGCGUCCAAAAUGUCUGAAUCCUAGUUUAGUCCUCACAUCUUGGGACAAUCAUAUAAUCAUACUCGAACUUCAGAAUCUGGAAUUAAACUGGAGUCAUACUGGAAGGUGUGUGUGUGGGGGCCCUUUUAGUACUUUAGCAGGAUUUUUCUAUUAUUCUCUAAUAUUAAUAUUUUAGCCAAAUAUGAAAAAUACAAUCUCCAGUAUCAGCUGAGUUUAAAAGCACACUGUUCUGCUCUGACUUCACUUCAGAUGAUGUAAUGAAAUCCUUUACAGAUGUGUUUCUGAGAUGUGUUGUAGGAAAUUCUGCCAUUCGUUACUCCACACAUCCUCUCCUUCUUUCUGACUUCAUCAGGAAUACAAAAUCUCGCAACAUAACCAGAAAUGCUAAUGAAGAACACUUUUGAGAAAGUCAAAAAGAGUACUUGAACUCAUGGACACAAAUCAUUAUGAGUUUGGGAACAUAGCCCUCAGACAAGACAACAACAACAACAACAACAAAAAAAACCCCUGUUCAAAAUGUUAUUUUUCAUUUAAAAUGAGUGCUUCAAAGUGUUUUCUGCUCUGAGAAGUUACACUCCUAAUUACCAGAAGUUUUUUUAUUUUUUAUGUAUUUCAGUGACUUAAGCUUAAGAUCUUUACAAGUAAAAAUGAUACAUAAACCUACCUCAUUAAGACAACAAAAACAAGUCUUCCUCUUAAAAAUGGCCCAGGGGAAGGAGAGAUUAUCUACAUCUAUGAAUUACUCUGUCUUUUUGACUGCUCCUCGCUCACUGCCUGUAAUCUUAUUAAAGUAAGCAUGUUAAAAGUCGACUCUUUUGUUUGUCACAGAUCCGGUUCAGCUUUUGGUGUUCCCCUCAGGGAAGUUUAGUUUCUUUGAAGUAAAAUAUUUGGGUGUCUGUGGCUCUCAGUGAGGGUUUCGUCCCACAUACCAUGUAGCCGCAUUACACAGUGUGUUUAUGACUAUCACCGCACUUCCCCAUGGCACACAUGCCUUUGGAAAUGAAGCAUAAAAAGGCCCACAGCUGCUAAUGAACAAUGUUCUGAGUUUACGUUUGCAGUGUGAAUACUAACGAAUGCUAACGCGUCCCAACAACUAGAUGGAGGCAGAUGGAAGCGCCGAACACCUUUCUCAAAUAACAGUACGUUGGUAUUUUUGAGAAACAUAUUUAAUAAAGAAAACCAAUAGUUCAUUUUAAUCCCUAAUCAUCUUCUUCUUCCGCUCUGGAGACUGUGGAAGCAUAGAAACAUACAACAAUACAUAGAAAAAGUAUGAAAUUUGGCACACAGAUAGGGGACAGUCUGAAUUGUUACCAUAGCAAAUUUGGACUUGCUAUCUCAAAACCUCUAGCGCCACCAACAGCUCAAACUUGCACUAAUGUUUAUGCUAAUAACCGAAAUGAAACAUAAGGGCUAGAAACAAAAUUCUCUGAUUCCUCGGCUUGUGCCGAGUCAAAGCCAUUUAGAAUUUUUAAAAGCCUACUUUUUCAAACUCCUAGACCGUUUGUCCAAUUUUCAUGAAAAUCGAAUUAGAUCAUCUUCAGACCAUGCUGACAAAAAAAAAUUAUUGAAUUCAACUUGAUUAGUUAAAUCGUGCAAACGAAUUAGAUGAUGAGCACACCGAAAUGGAUGUCAGGCUGUAUCUAUAGCUUUGAUUAGGCCACUCCAAAACUUCGCAAAAAUUUUCAUUUUUUUAAAGUCAUUCAGUAGUGGACUUACUCCUAUGCUUUAGAUCGUUUUCUUACUGCAUAAUCCAUUUGCGCUUGAGUUUCAAUUUAAAGACUGUCCAUUGGACAUUCUCCUUUAGGAUUUUCUGGUAGAGAGCAGAAUUCAUGUUUCCCUCAAUUAUUGCAAGUUGCCCAGGCCCUGAAGCAGCAAAGCAUCCCCACACCAUCACACUUCCACCACCAUGCUUGACCGUAGGUAUGACGUUCUUUUUGUGGAAUUCUCUAUUUGUCAGGAGGGAAAGUUCAGAGAGGAGGAUACACAUGCUGAAUUUCUUUAUUGAAGACAACACAAGGAACAGGCUCAAGGAAAUGGACCUAAUGAAUAAACACGAGGAGUAGACACACUUGGAGCCAGGAUUAUCAGAACGAAAUAAACUAGAAAGUAAACACUAAGAAAAAUGCUAAAUAAUCAAAAACAUAGUGCAAAUAACACAAGCAUAACAAAACCAGAAACUCAAACAUAACCUGAUAUGAGAUAAUGCUCCAGCAACUUAGGAAGAAACACAAGAAACCUAAAUAGAGCACUAGCCAAUCAAGAAAUAAGAAAGACAUGAGUAAGAUUACACAGAAAAUGGAGGGAGACAACAGAGGAAGAAGUUCUACAUGGGGAACAGGGAAAAAUGGAAUUGCCCCUGGGGGCCAAGAAAGUUUUUGGUUGACGCCAGAUGUAACCGGACAAAUGUCUUCCAAAAAGUGCCACUUUCGACUCAUGAAUCUACAGAACAUUUUCCCAAAAGGUCUGAGAAUCAUCAAGGUGUGUUUGGGCAAAAUUCAGAUGAGCCUUAAUGUUCUUCAGGGUUAGCAGUGGUUUUCACCUCACCACUCUUCCAUGGAUGCCAUUUUUGUCCAGUGUCUUUCUGAUAGUGGAGUCAUUAACAGUGAUCUUUAUUGAUGCAAGAGAGUGCCUGUAGGUCCUUUGAUGUUGUCCUUGGCUCUUUUGUGACUUUCUGGAUGAGUCGUUGCUGUGCUCUUGGAGGAAUUUUUGGAAGGUCGGCCACUUCUGGGAAGGUUCACUACUGUGCUAAUCCUUAAUGUUCUUCAGGGUUAGCAGUGGUUUUCACCUCACCACUCUUCCAUGGAUGCCAUUUUUGUCCAGUGUCUUUCUGAUAGUGGAGUCGUG
ensembl:lncRNA